CUCAACUCCCUUUCAUAAUAUUUGGCAAUAUCUGAUGUUUAGGAUUGAAAGUCUUCAAUAAGAAGAAGAGAAGAUGAUGAGGAUGAAUUCUCUGUAUUUUUUUUUCACUUUUUCCUGAAGCUAAAAAAAAAAAAUAAGAUUUUCUUUUUUUUUAAAUUAUCUCCACACCCAACAUGGGACUUGAACCUACAAUCCUGAGAUCAAGAAUCACAAACUCUGCCAACUGAGCCAGCCAAGUGCCUUUCCUAAAGGUUAAAAUUUGCAACUACCAUGUGACCUGAAGAGGACUUGUAAAAAUAUCUAUCUUCUGAAGGGAAGGACUCAGUUGAGACCAAACAGACCAGAUGCCAGAAGCACGGAUAUUAGACUCCAGUCUAAAUGAGCUCGGGGGCUGCAGACUCCACAGGCAGGAAGAAAGUGAUGCGGAAAUAGAAGAGAAAUGCAUUUGCUCAUGGAGUCCUGGAGUUUAAAUUUAGCUACCCCAACAGGGGAUUUGAUUUUGCACUUCUAGAAACUGACAGACAAGCCUGAGGUAAAAGUAAACUCUGUCCUAUCCUGGUGCCUCCCUAUCUUUGUACAUGACACACAAAGUUUUAUUUUAUCGUAUUAAUUCGGCAAAGUACUGAGAAGGGGGAGCUCCUUGUGUCUGUCUUUUCCAGAUAUCACCCUAAACCCAGCUUUGAAUGAAAGAAAUGCCAGACAGCCUCCUGAUCCUGUUCGUUGACCUUGCUGUCCCUUGCAGAAAGAACAGAGGACUCCUGCACAUCAUGAAACAAGAACUGGACCUGCUUGCACAACAACCCCCUGGGCACUGAGAUAAGAUUUGUAGCUGGCACCAAUGAAUCUGCACAUAAUCAAGAAAUGUUGCAGACCACUGCACUCCUUUUACUGAUUAACUGCCAUAAACUCUUUUCAAAAACCCCUGGACCAGGCAGAAACCUCCACGUUGGUUGGGGACAAGAGUCCACCUUCUCUCCAGGUUGUGAGCCUUCUGAAUAAAGCUCACAUUGCUUUCCAAUCAAAACUUUUUCUUGAGUAUUGGCCUUUUGAGUAACAAGCAGCCAAAAUUGGGGUUUGGUAAUACCAUGAAUGAGUGGGGUUUGGGGGUAGUUUUUCUUGGAGUAGGGGUAGAUGUGUUCUCUUUUGGGGACUAGAGACUGAACCAAUUGAGCCAACAUUUGAUAACCAGAAUGGUGGUCUGUGGUAGUCACUAUGCUGUUUACCAAAUGUUUCCUGUUCCUUUACUUCCAGGCUAGCAUGGAAGAUAUUUCAGUUCCUGUUGAAGUUAUAGGUGGCCAUGGGAUCUACUGUGGACAAUCAAGUGUAAUUAGAAACAGCAUAUAUCAAUUUUGAGAGGAAAGUCUGAUGAUCACAGAAGAUUCUAUCUCUUGAGGACUAUUAGGCAGAGCCCUCUCUGACCCACAGUGAACAUGAACAUCUGCAGAGGAUAAAGACAGAGGGGAUAGCAAUGCCUUAGAAGAGAGGAGCUUGGUCUCUGAAUCACUAUAUUGAAGAAAGUCACUCAGGGCUAUUGCGUGAGUGAGAAAUUCACCUCUAUUGUCUUUAAACCAAUUUACAUGCUUGAAUUUUUCAGUUAUAGCAUCUCAACCUAUACUGACUUACACAAUAAAAUUCAUAGAUCAAAGAUGAUGAAUAUUUUCAAGGUUCUCUUUUUUUCAAGGUUUUUAAUAGA